GGGAAAAAGAAGAGGCCUUCAACCAUCGAUCGCCAUCACCGCAGCCACCAUCUUCGCGAGCCACCGACGGUCGCCAUUACCGCGGGAGGAAGUCGGUUGUCUCCGCCACCUCCAGCCACCGGUUUCUAUCGCCGAGCAGCGUUGCCGCCGCUGUCUCCGAUCGUGCGAAUCGAUGCCGAUCGUCAUCAACCAGCGUUGCCGCCAUCCCUGACCGUACAGGAUAGGGACGGAUCGUAGAUCGAAAGAAAAUCCACACGGAUCCAGGUUAGUUGGCCUUAGACUCCUUGAGUUUGGUGAACGCUUGAAGAACAAAAGCAAAAGAAAGCAAAGGAAAAGAGUAGAGAUAUAUGUGAGAUGAAUUCUGUAUUCUCAUUAGCUCAUUUCUUUAGUUUACAAGAGUACAGAAUAUAAAGGACUCAAUGUAAUAAAUACAAUAAAUGUAUACAACUGUUACAUCCGUUACAUUCCGUUACAAAUACAAAUGUCCAUAAAUAGUGGUUUUAUAACAAUA